AGGAGCUAUGGACAGUUGAUGACUGCCAGGAGAGGGAAAGUCGGUUUUCUUCAGGAGUGUGGUCCUUGGUGUGUUGACUAUCCAGGGGAUGAUUCUACUCCAUGUGUACAUGGGCAGCACUGACUGGACUCGAACAUCCCGAGUACUUCAGAAGGAGGAAUAGGAGCACACACCUAUAAUCUCAGGACUCAGCCUGAGGCCCAAGGUUUGCAAGUUGAAGGACAGCCUGUGCUACAUAGAGGGUGCUGGCCAGCCUGGGCUACAAAGUGAAACUGCUUCUGCUCUCUGCCUUGAAAACAAAAGAGCAGAAAGAAAAGGAUUCUGGAAGUGAUUGACAAGGUCAGGACCACAGAAGGCCACAGAGUCACGACAGGACACACAGCGAUCACUUCCUUCCAAUGCUGAGGCUGUUGGGAGGUUCUGCUUUCAGUGUUGCUCUCCUGGGAUUUCGGUUCUCACACCUGCUCUCCAGCCAAUCAGCCAGGAAAGAAGGACAGGACAGCUGAGGGGGUGGGAGAGAGAGAGAGAGAGAGAGAGAGAGAGAGAGAGAGAGAGAGAGAAUGAUUGCAUGCUGGGGUCACAGAACAACUCGGUGCAGAUGGUUUUCUCUUUCCUACUUUAUACAUGUUCUGGGAUCACACCAGGCUUUUGCUGCACGUGCUUUUACUAACUGAGGUAUCUCAACAGCUCUGGUUUUGCUUUGUUUUGCUUUGUUUUGUUUUUCUUAAAACGUAUGGUCUUUUAGGACUUAUAAGGCAUUCCUUGCUCCAAGCUCUUCUGGCUUUCAAAACUUCCAAAGUUUCCACUGAGAAAUCAGCCAUUAUUCUAGUGGAUUUUCCUUCAUAUGUGACUUGUGUUUAUUCUCUUGCAGCUUACGGUGCAUUCUCUUUGUUGUGUGUACUUUAACUAUGACAGGCUGUAGGGAGUCUCUUUUCUGGCCUUGUCUCUUUGGUGUUCUGUGUACUUCUUGUGUUUGUAUGGGCGUGUCUUUCCUUAGUGUGGGGCUGGAGAGAUAGAUCGCUCACUGCUAAGAGCGCUGGCUGCUCCGGGCAGUGGUGGCGCAUGCCUUUAAUCCCAGCACUUGGGAGGCAGAGGCAGGUGGAGCUUUGUGAGUUGGAGGCCAGCCAGAGCACUGGCUGCUCUUCCAGGGGUCCUGAGUUCAAUUUCCAGCAACUGCAUGGUAGAACACAACCAUCGAUAAUGGGAUCAAUUCCCACUUCUGGCAUGCAGGCGUACAUGCAGACAGGGCACUCAUAUACAUAAAAUACAAGAAUAAAUAAAGAGUUUUAAAACACUUUUUAAAAAGAAGUUCCUAUAAAAAAUAUUUCUCUGAGCCAGUGGUGGUGGCAC